rnacentral:rRNA from 1 species
GGAGUAUGGGCCGUGUCUCAGUCCCAUUGUGGCUGAUCAUCCUCUCAAACCAGCUACUGAUCGUCGCCUUGGUGGUCCAUUACACCGCCAACUAACUAAUCAGAUGCAGACUCAUCCUAGAGCACCGGAGUUUUCACGAAUAGCAUCUCAGCUACGCGCAUAUGAGGUAUUAGCAGGAGUUUCCCUCUGUUGUCCCUCUCUCUAGGGCAGAUUCUCUACAUAUUACUCACCCGUCCGCCACUUUCCUCUCCAGCAAGCUGGAGAUUCUCGUUCGACUUGCAUGUAUGAAGCACGCCGCCAGCGUUCGUCCUCGAGCCACUGAUCAAACUACU